rnacentral:rRNA from 1 species
CCCUUAGAUGUCCUGGGCCGCACGCGUGCUACACUGAUGCAUCCAGCGAGUACUCCCAGCUCCGCGAGGCUGCUGGUAAUCAGCAAUAUGCGUCGUGAUGGGGAUAGAUCUUUGGAAUUAUAGAUCUUGAACGAGGAAUUCCUAGUAAACGCAAGUCAUCACCUUGCGUUGACUAAGUCCCUGCCCUUUGUACACACCGCCCGUCGCUCCUACCGAUUUCGAGUGAUCCGGUGAAUCAUUCGGACCGCGUGGGCUUGACCUAACGUGGAAAGUCUAGUAAACCAUAUCACUUAGAGGAAGGAGAAGUCGUAACA